rnacentral:lncRNA from 1 species
GCGUGAGCCAUCGCGCCCGGCCCUGUUGGGGAUUCUUUUUUUUUGGUCUGUGUUCAUCGGUGUCCUGAUGUACUCACUUCCUCCAUUCCAGGAGUAGGAUACAUUAGGCAAAAAGAAGAAUACCCAGGGAAUUUACUGCUAUAUUGUGCCUUGUGUCCUGUGAUCCUGAGCUGAUUUGCCUUCUCUCCACCUUUCAGAGAAUAUUCGUUUUAUUUACAAUGUUCACAGUUUAAAUUUGUACUUCGUGGGAGGAAUAGGGAAAAAGUAUGUCCAUUCCAUCGUCCCGGAAGUUUUUAACUGUACCUUUUGAUGAGCAGAAAUAUUUAUAUCUGCUAGGUUUAAUUUAUCAGUGUUUUCUUUUGUAGUUAUUGCUUACUGUGAGCUAAGACACUUUUGCCUAACCUCAAAGUCUUGAAGGAUGUGAACUUUGUCCCCGUAAGGAUGGAGCUUUAAAAAGAAC